rnacentral:rRNA from 1 species
CGGGGUGCACCAGGCGCGAAAACUUUACAAUGCUGGAAACAGCGAUAGGGGGACUUUGAGUGCCAGGAUACAAUCUUGGCUGUCGUAAUGCCUAAAAAGCAUUGCAUAGCAAGGGCCGGGCAAGACCGGUGCCAGCCGCCGCGGUAACACCGGCGGCUCGAGUGGUAACCGCUAUUAUCGGGUCUAAAGGGUCUGUAGCCGGCUGGAUAAGUCUCUUGGGAAAUCCGACAGCUUAACUGUCGGGCUUUCAGGAGAUACUGUCCGGCUCGAGACCGGGAGAGGUGAGAGGUACUUCAUGGGUAGGGGUGAAAUCUUGUAAUCCUUGAAGGACCACCAGUGGCGAAGGCGUCUCACCAGAACGGAUCUGACGGCAAGGGACGAAAGCUAGGGGCACGAACCGGAUUAGAUACCCGGGUAGUCCUAGCCGUAAACGAUACUCGCUAGGUGUCAGCCACGGGGCGACCGUGGUUGGUGCCGUAGGGAAGCCGUGAAGCGAGCCACCUGGGAAGUACGGCCGCAAGGCUGAAACUUAAAGGAAUUGGCGGGGGAGCACA